AUCUCUCCACUCGCCUACUAUCAUCAUGUCUCUCCGUAACUCGAUCAGGGCUAUACCCUACUUCGCCGCCUACAAUUAAUGCGCAUGACCUGUUCUGACCCCUGGCACACUCAACCAUUAAAGCGUAUGGCCCCUGCUGAUCUCCGGUUCACUCAACAAUUAAAGCGUAUGGCCUCUACUGAUCUCCGGUUCACUUAACAAUUAAAGCGUAUGGCCUCUACUGAUCUCCGGUUCACUCAAACAAUCAAUGCUCAUGUCAUCUCCGGACCUCAACGCCUCCACGGCAGGCAGUUGAACCACUCCACCACGUCUGAUCAGCCACGACGACUUACUGACUCCGGUUUGAUCUCCCAUGACACCAUUAAUGCACAUGAUCGUGUUCAAUUAUGACAAAAAGGGUGAUCUGCCCCGUCACUUCACAGUAAUACGAUACUCCUCUAUAAAAGGGGAACCCCUCCACCUUAGUGGGGGUUGGACACCGGAAAAACCCAAGAAAAACAUCUCCCCUCUCCUCUCACAUGUUAGCCCCCUCUAACUUAAGCAUCGGAGGGCCGGCGCCAGAAACCCCGGCCACCGGUUUCUUGCAGGUCUCCCGAAGGACGCUGACCGCCGACAAACCGCCGCUCCCCC
rnacentral:lncRNA from 1 species